rnacentral:sRNA from 1 species
GCUGGGCAUGGUGGUGCACGCCUGUAAUCCCAGUGGCUCAGGAGGCUGAGGCAGAAGGACUGCAAGUUCAAAGCCAGCCUUAGCAAUGGUAAGGCGCUAAGUAACUCAGUGAGACCCUGUCUCUA